rnacentral:rRNA from 1 species
AGUGAACGCUGGCGGUAGGCCUAACACAUGCAAGUCGAACGGCAGCACAGUAAGAGCUUGCUCUUACGGGUGGCGAGUGGCGGACGGGUGAGGAAUACAUCGGAAUCUACUUUUUCGUGGGGGAUAACGUAGGGAAACUUACGCUAAUACCGCAGACGACCUACGGGUGAAAGCAGGGGAUCUUCGGACCUUGCGCGAUUGAAUGAGCCGAUGUCGGAUUAGCUAGUUGGCGGGGUAAAGGCCCACCAAGGCGACGAUCCGUAGCUGGUCUGAGAGGAUGAUCAGCAACACUGGAACUGAGACACGGUCCAGACUCCUACGGGAGGCAGCGGUGGGGAAUAUUGGACAAUGGGCGCAAGCCUGAUCCAGCCAUACCGCGUGGGUGAAGAAGGCCUUCGGGUUGUAAAGCCCUUUUGUUGGGAAAGAAAAGCAGCAGGUUAAUACCCCGCUGUUCUGACGGUACCCAAAGAAUAAGCACCGGCUAACUUCGU